GAUGGCUGUGAUUACCUACUUGCCCUAUCUGAGAGCAGAGCUUCGAUUAUGAGACCUUUUUUAAACCUCAACACUGAGCCAAA